GGGCUGUAGCUCAAUGGCAGAACAUCUGCUUUGCCUACAAAAGAGUCCAGGUUCAAUCCCCGGGAUCUCCA